rnacentral:rRNA from 1 species
AAAGAAUAGAAUCGUGCGUUAAAUGCACCAGUUUCCCACUGAUCACUGAAGUUAAGCAACGUAGCGCUUUUUUUGGUAUCGAGAUGGGUGACCAUCUGGACAAUCGUGUGCUGGUAAUAA